ensembl:misc_RNA 7SK 7SK RNA
GGAUGUGAUGGUGAUCUGGCUGUGAUGUCUAUCAUCCCAUUAAUUGCCAGGGUUGAUUUGUCUGAUCUGCCUGGCCAGGCAGGUGUCCCCUUCCUCCAUCGCCACUCCAUGUGUGUCCCUCCCCAAGCACAGCUUCAUGCUGGGUCGAAGAGGAUGACCUUCCUGAAAUAGAAGAGGACUGGUCUUUGGUCAAGGGUACACGAGUAGCUGUGCUCUCGGGCUAGAACCUGCAAACAAGCUCUCAAGUUGGGUAUAUUCUAUAUGGCUUCAUUGGAACACUGGACAUCAAGUCCAUCCACAGAUAAGCCCAGGCUGGGUAUGGACAUAU